rnacentral:rRNA from 1 species
UACAGAGGUCUCAAGCGUUGUUCGGAUUCAUUGGGCGUAAAGGGCGCGUAGGCGGCGGGGCAAGUCGGGUGUGAAAUCUCGGAGCUUAACUCCGAAACUGCAUUCGAUACUGCCGUGCUUGAGGACUGGAGAGGAGACUGGAAUUUACGGUGUAGCGGUGAAAUGCGUAGAUAUCGUAAGGAAGACCAGUGGCGAAGGCGGGUCUCUGGACAGUUCCUGACGCUGAGGCACGAAGGCCAGGGGAGCAAACGGG